rnacentral:snRNA from 1 species
UUGGUCCAAAACAUCAAUUGUCAAUCCCGGAAACUAGUGCAAAUUAGCAUGGCCCCUUCACAAGGAUGACAUGCACAAAUCGAGAAAUGGUCCAAAUUUUA